rnacentral:tRNA from 1 species
GUGGGUGUAGCUCAAUGGUAGAGUUCUGGCCUUCCAAGCCAGCUGUGAGGGUUCGAUCCCCUUCACCCGCUCCA